UUAGGGUCAUUGGAAACUGGGGAACUUGAGUGCAGAAGAGGAGAGUGGAAUUCCACGUGUAGCGGUGAAAUGCGUAGAGAUGUGGAGGAACACCAGUGGCGAAGGCGACUCUCUGGUCUGUAACUGACGCUGAGGAGCGAAAGCGUGGGGAGCGAACAGGAUUAGAUACCCUGGUAGUCCACGCCGUAAACGAUGAGUGCUAAGUGUUAGGGGGUUUCCGCCCCUUAGUGCUGCAGCUAACGCAUUAAGCACUCCGCCUGGGGAGUACGGUCGCAAGACUGAAACUCAAAGGAAUUGACGGGGGCCCGCACAAGCGGUGGAGCAUGUGGUUUAAUUCGAAGCAACGCGAAGAACCUUACCAGGUCUUGACAUCCUCUGACAAUCCUAGAGAUAGGACGUCCCCUUCGGGGGCAGAGUGACAGGUGGUGCAUGGUUGUCGUCAGCUCGUGUCGUGAGAUGUUGGGUUAAGUCCCGCAACGAGCGCAACCCUUGAUCUUAGUUGCCAGCAUUCAGUUGGGCACUCUAAGGUGACUGCCGGUGACAAACCGGAGGAAGGUGGGGAUGACGUCAAAUCAUCAUGCCCCUUAUGACCUGGGCUACAACACGA
rnacentral:rRNA from 1 species